rnacentral:rRNA from 1 species
GGAAGGUCCCCCACAUUGGAACUGAGACACGGUCCAAACUCCUACGGGAGGCAGCAGUGAGGAAUAUUGGUCAAUGGACGAGAGUCUGAACCAGCCAAGUAGCGUGCAGGAAGACGACAAAAAAAGAUGUAAACUGCUUUUAUAAGGGAAUAAAGUGAGUCUCGUGAGACUUUUUGCAUGUACCUUAUGAAUAAGGACCGGCUAAUUCCGUGCCAGCAGCCGCGGUAAUACGGAAGGUCCGGGCGUUAUCCGGAUUUAUUGGGUUUAAAGGGAGCGUAGGCCGGAGAUUAAGCGUGUUGUGAAAUGUAGAUGCUCAACAUCUGAACUGCAGCGCGAACUGGUUUCCUUGAGUACGCACAAAGUGGGCGGAAUUCGUGGUGUAGCGGUGAAAUGCUUAGAUAUCACGAAGAACUCCGAUUGCGAAGGCAGCUCACUGGAGCGCAACUGACGCUGAAGCUCGAAAGUGCGGGUAUCGAACAGGAUUAGAUACCCUGGUAGUCCGCCCGGAAAACGAUGGAUGCCCGCUGUUGGUCUGAAUAGGUCAGCGGCCAGGCGAAAGCAUUAAGCAUCCCACCUGGGGAGUACGCCGGCAACGGUGAAACUCAAAGGAAUUGACGGGGGCCCGCACAAGCGGAGGAACAUGUGGUUUAAUUCGAUGAUACGCGAGGAACCUUACCCGGGCUUGAAUUGCAGAGGAAGGAUUUGGAGACAAUGACGCCCUUCGGGGCCUCUGUGAAGGUGCUGCAUGGUUGUCGUCAGCUCGUGCCGUGAGGUGUCGGCUUAAGUGCCAUAACGAGCGCAACCCCUCUCCUUAGUUGCCAUCAGGUCAUGCUGGGCACUCUGGGGACACUGCCACCGUAAGGUGUGAGGAAGGUGGGGAUGACGUCAAAUCAGCACGGCCCUUACGUCCGGGGCUACACACGUGUUACAAUGGCAGGUACAGAGAGACGGUCCCUUGCAAAAUGGAUCAAAUCCUUAAAGCCUGUCUCAGUUCGGACUGGGGUCUGCAACCCGACCCCACGAAGCUGGAUUCGCUAGUAAUCGCGCAUCAGCCAUGGCGCGGUGAAUACGUUCCCGGGCCUUGCACA